CGCAGCCAAGUCAGAUUCAACCCCUGUUCCCACUGUAGCGGGCUGGCCCAGAUGACUUCCACAGCGAGCGCCGCAGUUCAUGGGCCUGGCUCCCCUGCCCUGGGACCCCGGGAUAAGUUUGGCUGUGGACGUGG